GCAUCGCGUCGCCCCUCACCAUCAUCCUAUGGACAAGUGGUGUAGGGAGCGGAUAUUGGUCUCCCAUGCUCAUGGUGUGGUUGAUCUAAAUAGGAGUCCUCCUUCGGUGGAUGCACGGCUAGUGGUGGUUGUAUAAUCUCGUAUCGAGCCGUGUGUUGUGAGCCGCAAGCGAMUUUSUCUUCAAAGACCCCUUAGUGUCGUCUUGCGAUGAUGCUUGA
rnacentral:misc_RNA from 1 species